ensembl:lncRNA
GUUAUUCUGACUUGAGUGAAUCAUUCCAAUCUCCAUUUACAUUUUUUUUUUAUGUGGCUAUAGUAGACCUAUACCGGUUGUGCACUAGCUUCCAUGAUGCUCUACAGUAAAGUGACAGAAUGACAGAUGGGUUAUUACGUAACUAGACCAACAGUCCAGAAUCUGUUUGCUCCUUUUUUUUUUUUUUUAAACGGCACGACAAAAACUGUUGAGGUCGGCUAAGGCAUAGCCUGUUGUUAAAAUGAUUCCAACUCUGCUAUUUUAUCAAAGCUUUGGGGAUAGAUAGAUAGAAGAGUUGGGUCAAAAUAUGUUUGCCCCUUUAACUGUUGAGGUUGGUAAAAUAGCAUAGGCUGUUUUUCGUGCCAUUCUCAACGCUUUGGGUUAGGGAGUUCUAGACUAUAGAUGGAUAAAAUAGUUUGCUCUCCCGGAGCAAGCAACAGCUCAGAGAAUACAUCUAAAUGAGAAGAUCCUGCCAUGGAAAAGACGACUGGAUGGACAGGAAGUGGAAAGGAGGGGAAAUAACUCCCACCAUGCAGCAGGACACCUUCAGCUCUUCAGAUGGCCAAGGAAGUAGCACAGAACAUCCCCAACAUCCCCUUCCCAAAUUGAUAUAGAACCUUCACAAAAACACAUGGAGCAACAGUGAAAAGAAAUGGCUGAGGAUACACUAAAAAUGUCUGAGUUCAACAAAGCCAACAACUGCUUCAUGUGUGCCACUGAUAAAGAACCUGGAUGUGGCCCAAAGACUGACUGGACUGAAUGUUUUGCCAACGGUGGUUCCAUGUGCUGUGCCUAGGAAUGAAGACAAGAGUUCAGAGUGAAGAACACAAACUGGAAGUGCAGUCUGUUGUUUAAAAUGUAUGCUAUACCCCAUCCACACUGAAGAGGCUCUGACAUGUACAUCAACCAGGGAUAAAGAGGAGGUUAACACUG